rnacentral:tRNA from 1 species
UCCCUGGUGGCUCAGAUGGUAAAAGCGCCUGCCUAUAAUGCGGGAUAUUUGGGUUCGAUCCCCGGUUCAGGAA